rnacentral:lncRNA from 1 species
GCUUAUAUUGAUCCUUAUAUAAGAUAACUCAUUGUCUUGAAUAUUUAACUUUUUAAAUUUUACCUAUUUCUAGGUAUGGAUGGAACAUCUGUUGAAAAUGUUGACUGUAUUGUUCGCUCAUAUACAUUUAAGAAUCCUACUAUGAAUUGUACUUGGAAUGCUGGUAAAAAUGCUCCUCCAGACACCUGGUAUUUUAUGUACUUAGCAUAUCACAAGUAAUGCAUUUUCAUUUAAUAAACUAAAAAAAUCUUUUUUGAAAAUAUAUUGUGUUUGAUUGGCUUUUAAAUAAAAUUCUUUGGGAUAAACAGGGCUACAGAUAAUGAGUGUCCACAUUACAUAAGUAACACAUUUGGAAGACACAUUGGUUGCUACUUCCCUGAUGUUAUAGCAAAUCAAUAUCGUGUGGUUAUUACAAUAAAUGGAUCAAGCAAACACUCUCCAAUUCAGUCGUAUGUUGAUGAUUUCCGACUUUAUGAGAAAGAACAGUUUCGACCUCCCCAAAAUAUUACUGUGGAUUAUAGUUCACCAUUAUAUUAUAAUGUCCAGUGGGAACCUCCUCCAAACUCUCGUAAACUUGGAAGUAAUUGCUUUAAGUUCCAAAUAAAGGAUGAACGCAGGAAUACAAUCAUGAAUGUAACAGAAAAAACAUACAAUUUCGCAAAGCCUGCAAAAUAUAUCUUGAGAAUUCGCUCAGUUGGACGCUUUACGUGUCCAAUUUCAAAAGAAAUGAAUGGAGAAUGGAGUGAACCUAUUGAGUUUGGUACUGACCCUGAUGUGUUCCCUACACUGCCUUUAAUCUUUGCUGCACUUGGAACCAUAAUGAUAAUUGUGCUUUUGACCUUGAUUUGUAAAAGGAACCACAUAUGGGGAAAACUUACUGACCCAGUUCCCCAACCAAAAGAUAUGUGGCAACAUGAGAAGAAUGUGGAGUGGGUGACCCCAGUACCUAUAGCAGGUGAAUCAAUAACAGUGGUUGAAGAAAUGUCUGCCGUCUCCCCAAAAGUAUGAGGCAUUGUCCACUACCAAAAAAACCUACCCUAAUAAAAUAGUAAAAGAAAACCUGUGUAUGUGUAUG